rnacentral:rRNA from 1 species
GGAGGAAAAGAAACCAACUGGGAUUCCCUUAGUAACGGCGAGUGAAAAGGGAAGAGUCCAGCGCCGAAUCCCUUUUUACCGAGGGAAAUGUGGCGUUAGGGAGUGAGCGUGAUGUGUCGUUUUACCGUCCGAAAGUCCCCAUGAACGGGGUGUCCAGAGAGGGUGGCAGGCCCCUGUCGGCGGAAAUUGGACGCACGUGCGAUCUCCGAGGAGUCGAGUUGCUCGGGAGUGCAGCUCAAAGAGGGUGGUAAACUCCAUCUAAGACUAAAUAUCACCGCGAGGCCGAUAGCAAACAAGUACCGUGAGGGAAAGUUGCAAAGAACUUUGAAGAGAGAGUUCAAGAGUGCGUGAAACUGCUCAGAGGCAAACGGGUGGGAUCGCGAAGUCCUGUGUCGAGGGCAUUCAGGGUCGAGGGUCGUCGCUUUCGAUGGUCGGUUUUAUCCGGCCUUCGAGUAGGUGACCAGCUUCCUGCAUUUGCUCUCGACCGGAGGACGCUGCAGCCGGUCGGGUCUCUUUCAAGAUCUCGUGAAGGUCGAGCGUUGCAGGUGGCCGGUGUCUCGUCUUCUGGACGAGGCAUCGGUUUUAGAGCUUGCUCGUCCGAGGAAGAUCACCCGACCGAGGUGUCGUUAGCCUUUCGGGGCUCUKUCGUCUCCCUGGCUUCGUGCUUCGAGAAGCUUUGCGCAGGCGAGGAUUAUCGUCUGCGUCGCACCGGUUCACCGCGUGGACGAACGGCGGUAAGACUGUCGUUGGCGUGGCUUGCUCGUUGGAGACUUUCGGCUGGCAGCGAAGUCGUCGGAUUCCCACCC